rnacentral:lncRNA from 1 species
AUCUAAAAACUAUACAAAAAUCUCCAAUAAAUCUAAAUAGUAUAGUGCAAUUUAAACUUACUAAUAAAUCUAUAUAUAUAUUGAAAAAAUAUAUAGGAUAUUUCAAAUAUUUUCUAAUAAAAUAUAACAUAUAAAUUUAUAAAAUAUAAUAUUUAUUGUAAUUUUUUGAAUAAAUAUGAUGUAAAAAUUUAUAUUGAUUUAAAUAAAUUAAAAU